ACUCCUACGGGAGGCAGCAGUGGGGAAUAUUGGACAAUGGGCGCAAGCCUGAUCCAGCAAUACCGCGUGUGUGAAGAAGGCCUUCGGGUUGUAAAGCACUUUUAUAUGGGAAGAAGUGUUGUGUGUUAAUAGCACAUGGCAUUGACGGUACCAUAGGAAUAAGCACCGGCUAACUCCGUGCCAGCAGCCGCGGUAAUACGGAGGGUGCGAGCGUUAAUCGGAAUUACUGGGCGUAAAGGGUACGUAGGCGGCUUGAUAAGUCAGAUGUGAAAUCCCGGCUAGCUGGAGCUGCAUUGAACUGAUUGAGCUAGAGUGAGUGAGAGGUAAGUGGAAUUCAAGGCGUAGCGGUGAAAUGCGUAGAGGUCUUGAGGAACAUCAGUGGCGAAGGCGACUUACUGGCACUACACUGACGCUGAGGUACGAAAGCGUGGGGAGCGAACAGGAUUAGAUA
rnacentral:rRNA from 1 species